GCAAUAGUAGCUCAGAGCCAGAGCGCCGGUCUUGUAAA
rnacentral:tRNA from 1 species